UUGUUUCUACCCAUUACCUUGCAUGAUUUUCUCCAUACCCUCCCCCAUCCUCACACACAUGCAUUAGGCAGUAAUUAAGAUUAUUUUUGCUGUACUUAAUAGAUAAGAAACUAGAGCUUGGAAAAUACAGUUGACUCUCAAAAUUACAUAAUUGAAAGGGCUGGAGUUGAAACUUGCAUUUGGAACUUCUUUUUCUCAAGCGUGGUCCUUCCUCUGACAUAAUCUAUCUAUUUUCUCCUAGAUCAUCUGUUCUCUAUAUCACAAUCUAUUAUGGGAAUAUGACUUGAACAGAGUGACUGUUAAUGACAUAAUGAACAUGUACAUUAAGAGAGGUUUGGAAGAGAGUCUUUUCUUGCUAGAAAGAGUAUAGAUCUGGAGCCAGGAUGCUGGACUAGUUAAGGGCCGCUGGUUGUGGAGUCAGAUGGACUGGGAUUAAAUCUUGACUCGUCCACCAACUAUCAACUUGAUCAAAAUGAAGUCUUAGUAUGUUGUCCAGGCUGGUCUUGAACUUCUGGCCUUAAGUGAUCCUCCUGCCUUGGCCUCCCAAAGUGUGGGAUUACAGGCAUGAGCCACUGUGUCUGGCUGAAAUUGGAAUUCUAAAGAAUCAAAUUUUGCCCCAAUUUGCUGUGCUGCCUGUGCUUGGAAUAAACAUUUUGCAGCCAUACAGAAAUCAGAAGAUUUAUUGAGAAUACGGUACAUGCUCCUAGUGGGUAGAGAGGAAUCAGACAUAGCUCCCGCCGUCAAGGAGAUCUGAGUUUCAUGAUGAAGAUACAAAAAUGAAAAUGACUAUGUGUGGAAUGUGCUAAUAGUGAUAUGAGCAGGGCAAGCUCAAGGCACGAGGGAAGGUCAAAGGAAGCUUAUGAAAGAAAGAGAUUCUUCGGCAGUGUUAAGCAAACAUCCAUGACACAGAUACUGCUGAAAAGUGACCUGUAUCCAGCUGAGGAGCACUGGUUGUACAUUUGUGUUUGGUGCUGACAGAAGAGUCUACGCUACUAAGAAUAUUAAGUUAUCAUCUGGCCUCUGGAUUGAGGAGGUAGCAUUAUAUAAGUAAAUGGAGGGUCAGAGACACUGUUGGUUACCCAAGAUCGUAUUCCAGAUCACUGGUGAAGCCUGUUAGCAACUCCAAGCAUUUGAGCUAGGAUCUGCUACUUCUCAACACUAGGCUACAGACAUUCUCAGCAGUUAUCAUCUUACUGGGCUUAACAAUAAUGUACAAGGAACAUAACUGCAAAGUGGGCUACUGUGUCUCACAAGAUGAGAACAAAGGAAGUGCUGGAAGAGUUUCAAGUCUGGCUGCAGAAAGCUGGAAAGAUGACAGUCUACUUGGGAAAAUGAUACAAAAUGUCUGAAAAUUUAAGCAACUGCUCAAGACUCCUGUCUUAUGAGGGAAAGGAGGCGGGCUCCCUCACAAGACAUUAAGGCUGCCUGUGAGGGCUGUCACCAGUAGUGUUACUAAGUUAAGAUCCUAAUGUACAGUGUGGACACAUGAGUGUUUCUCUUUCUUUUACAAAUGCUGCUAAAGAACAUGCCCAUAGAGGAUAUUUGCAACACCUUAUAAACUAAACCUGACAAUAGGAAAGACCAUACAAAAAGUAUGUACCUUUUAACUUUUUUCCCUUAAGAAAGAAGUUCUAGGUAAGGUAAUCAGGUAAGAAAUUAUUCAAAUAAAAUUAGAAAAAUCAAAUAUUGCUCUGGUUAUACAUGUAAAAUAAUUGCAUUUAUUCAUUAAAAUAAUGCAUUGUAUGUAUUGAUCCAUCUAUAAUUUAUGAGGCACUGGGCAACCUAAUCAUGAAUUCACUCAGUCAUUUAUUGUGUCUGUUAUUUCAACCCACAUUAUUGAACUUCUGUUAUGUGCAAAGCUGUGGCCAGGGUGUGGAUUUCUCCAUGGAUAAGACAUAUUCUGUCCUAGAGAGGAGGCUAGAAAAACUACAGUUUAAUGAGCAGAUAUUAGAUGCUCUGUACUAUGCUAAGAAUUUUAUGCACAGUAUUUCAUAUGAAAAUUGUAAUAACUCUGUUAGGCAAGGCUUAUUGUAAUGUUCUUAGAGAUGGUGUAUUAGUCUGUUUUCACAUGGAUAAUAAAGAUAAUGAG
rnacentral:lncRNA from 1 species